rnacentral:rRNA from 1 species
GACGAGCCACACGAACGUUAUUCGGAAUUACUGGGCUUAAAGGGUGCGUAGGCUGCGCGGAAAGUUGGGUGUGAAAUCCCUCGGCUCAACCGAGGAACUGCGCCCAAAACUGCCGUGCUCGAGGAAGAUAGAGGUAAGCGGAACUUACGGUGGAGCGGUGAAAUGCGUUGAUAUCGUAAGGAACACCUGUGGCGAAGGCGGCUUACUGGGUCUUUUCUGACGCUGAUGCACGAAAGCUAGGGGAGCAAACGGG